GGAAUGGCCAGUUUUGAUCAGAGUCCAUGCUGGAAAGCUUACUUAACAUGCCUUCCCUAUGGCACUUUUCGCCUUCAUAUGGUCCGGAUCUUCCUUUGGCCAGCGUGCCUAAGAGACCAACGCUGUCAAAAUCAUUUGUUUGCCAUCUCAAGGACCAUCGCUGAGAGAUAAUUUCCAGUGUGAAGGUUCUGGCUAUGGAAGAGAUCGUAGGAUAGACAGUCCACAUCAGAGGUCCUCGAGAAGAGACUCAGACCAAGGCCACGUCUAUUGUCUGCAGCUCGGGUUGAUUGCUCCAGGACCCCAAAGAAAAUGAAUGCGCACUUGAUAUCCCAGAGCAUUCAUCGGAGAAACGACGAGUAUCAGACAGUGAUCGACGAAGUGUUCUUUGCUGCAGAUGGAGAGAGGCAGACUGAUGUACUAAAAGUAACUGUCUGAUGUGCUGCUGCCAAAGGACCUAACCCUACCCUGGUGCACACCCCUAACCCUAAUGUAGGGGUAAAGUUCCAUUAAAGAGAGAGCAAUUCUGAAAAAGCC